UACGGAAGGCAGCAGUGGGGAAUAUUGCACAAUGGGCGCAAGCCUGAUGCAGCCAUGCCGCGUGUAUGAAGAAGGCCUUCGGGUUGUAAAGUACUUUCAGUCGUGAGGAAGGUGUUAAGGUUAAUAACCUUAGCAAUUGACGUUAGCGACAGAAGAAGCACCGGCUAACUCCGUGCCAGCAGCCGCGGUAAUACGGAGGGUGCGAGCGUUGUCCGGAUUUAUUGGGUUUUAAAGGGUGCGUAGGCGGCCCGUUAAGUCCGGGGUGAAAGCCCGUUGCUCAACAACGGAACUGCCCUGGAUACUGGCGGGCUUGAGACUAGUGGAGGUUGGCGGAAUGGACCGAGUAGCGGUGAAAUGCAUAGAUACGGUCCAGAACCCCGAUUGCGAAGGGCAGCUGACUACACUAGGGACUGACGCUGAGGCACGCAGCGUGGGGAGCGAACAGGAUUAGAUACC
rnacentral:rRNA from 1 species